CUGGGGGCAGCCUACCAUGCAAGUCGAGCGGUAGCACAGAGAGCUUGCUCUCGUGUGACGAGCGACGCCCGUGUGAGUAAUGUCUGGGAAACUGCCUGAUGGAGGGGGAUAUCUACUGGAAACGGUAACUAAUACCGCAUAAUGUCGCAAGACCAAAGAGGGGGACCUUCGGGCCUCUUGCCAUCAAAUGUGCCCAGAUGGGAUUAGCUAGUAGGUGGGGUAACGGCUCACCUAGGCGACGAUCCCUAGCUGGUCUGAGAGGAUGACCAGCCACACUGGAACUGAGACACGGUCCAGACUCCUACGGGAGGCAGCAGUGGGGAAUAUUGCACAAUGGGCGCAAGCCUGAUGCAGCCAUGCCGCGUGUAUGAAGAAGGCCUUCGGGUUGUAAAGUACUUUCAGCGGGGAGGAAGGUGUUGAGGUUAAUAACCUCAGCAAUUGACGUUACCCGCAGAAGAAGCACCGGCUAACUCCGUGCCAGCAGCCCGCGGUAAUACGGAGGGUGCAAGCGUUAAUCGGAAAUUACUGGGCGUAAAAGCGCCACGCAGGCGGUCCUGUCAAAGUCGGAAUGUGAAAAUCCCCGGGGCUCAACCCGGGGAAACUGCCUUUCCAAAACGGGGGAGGUUAUAAUUCUUUGAAGAGGGGGGGGUAGAAUUUCCCGGGGGGGGCCCGUGAAAUUGAUUAAAUU
rnacentral:rRNA from 1 species